AUGAUAAUAACAACAAAACUAAACACCAGUCUUAACAUGCACUCUCCGCUUUCAUGCUUCAGCAGUACUCAGAUCAUUUCCACAAACAGACCAAAGAGCACAGCUUGAUUUCUAUGAAAUAAAGAAGAUAAAGCAAUGAGAGCUUUUAUUUCGUCUACUGUGGCCGUCGGGUCUGUUAGAGGUGGAACGAGCAGCCGUGAGCUGGAACUGUACAAACAAUCCACUCUGAUCAAUAUCAGUCCGGCACUUUAUGACUUCUUUGAAGCCGAAACAACUGUUUACACGCUUCACUCUUUGCUGUGGGUCAUUACAGAUAUCGCUAGUCUUACAGAUGAUCAAGUGAGAAUAUACACAUGAAUCAGUUGUGAUGUUUAAAUGGUAUUUUAUUACUGUGGCAUUUUAUUUAAUGAAAUAUUUCUCUGUUCCCUUUUAAACACCCCAGUGUUGCUCACUAUCAGCAUUAUCUGAGAAUGCUGGUGAACUUUAAUUGGUUAACCAGCAUUAACAGCCACGUUCAGCAUGGCUUUCCUGGUCUAAGAACAAAUCAACAUGCAUGAAACUUUUGGCUUUUGAAGGUUGACUUCUGAACUGCUUUUGCAUUUGUAAUGAAUCUGAAGGCAGAAUCGAGUCUUAUACAUUGUGAGUUUGAGAUUGACUUUCUCUGUGUUUUGUCAACUGUUUGCUGUCUGUUGUCAGUCAACAGAGCUCCUGUCCUUCACAAUGCCUGAGAGGUUCAGCCCACACUCAGCUCUACAGAUGCACGGAUAUAGGUUGAGGGUGACCCAUGUGGAGGUGAAAGCAGAUUAAGAGAGCAAAGACAAAACAAGCAGAUUAGCCAAAUGUCUGACCGGUUUCUCUUCAGGAUACAGAGCAUCAUCAGAGGAAAACCAACUGGAAAAUGAUGAUGUUGUCCAUUUGGAAACCUGACAGAGAGUUGCUGAUGGAAAACGCAGAGUUUUUCAAAACAUCUCAGGAUGAAAAUCAGCAUGAGGAUAAAUGCAGCUCACGUGUGAAGCCGGAUCAGAGCUGCUGGAUUGUGUAACAAGAGGAAUGUUUGGGAAUCUCAGAGAGCUAUUGCAUUGUUCACAGCCAUGUGAGAAGGAGUCAGAGGUCAAACACAGUGGCACGCAAAACAAAGAGGCGAGUGAAGCAACAAGGACAUAUCUGAAGCCCUUUCACAAGGUCAUUGAAGAUCACAGAAGCCAAUAUACUGUAUAGUGCAUUUAAACCUAAUAUUGGAUUGAAAAUAUUUUAGAAAAAAAUACGAUGAAUUGGGAAUUUUGGAUAUAUUAGCAUUUUAGUUAGCGCCUAUUAGGGUUGCAUUGCCAGAAACUAAAAGUUAGCUACGUUAUUUGGGCUUUAUUUAUUCCUGCAUAAUAUUUAUAGACAUGUAGUUGGAUUCAAUUUCAGAUUAAAGAUAAAAGUAUACAUUAAUCAUUAUAAUGCAUUUGAAAAUCUGUACUAUUUUGCGCUUCAUUAUUUGACAAAGCAUUAAAAAACUUAUUAUUUUUGUUUAAACCCAUAUUGUAUUUGUUUUAA